CGCUGUGAAGAUGCAGUGUACCCGCGGCAAGACGGAAAGACCCCGUGAACCUUUACUAUAGCUUGACACUGAACAUUGAGCCUUGAUGUGUAGGAUAGGUGGGAGGCUUUGAAGUGUGGACGCCAGUCUGCAUGGAGCCGACCUUGAAAUACCACCCUUUAAUGUUUGAUGUUCUAACGUGGACCCGUUACCCGGGUUGCGGACAGUGUCUGGUGGGUAGUUUGACUGGGGCGGUCUCCUCCUAAAGAGUAACGGAGGAGCACGAAGGUUGGCUAAUCCUGGUCGGACAUCAGGAGGUUAGUGCAAUGGCAUAAGCCAGCUUGACUGCGAGCGUGACGGCGCGAGCAGGUGCGAAAGCAGGUCAUAGUGAUCCGGUGGUUCUGAAUGGAAGGGCCAUCGCUCAACGGAUAAAAGGUACUCCGGGGAUAACAGGCUGAUACCGCCCAAGAGUUCAUAUCGACGGCGGUGUUUGGCACCUCGAUGUCGGCUCAUCACAUCCUGGGGCUGAAGUAGGUCCCAAGGGUAUGGCUGUUCGCCAUUUAAAGUGGUACGCGAGCUGGGUUUAGAACGUCGUGAGACAGUUCGGUCCCUAUCUGCCGUGGGCGCUGGAGAACUGAGGGGGGCUGCUCCUAGUACGAGAGGACCGGAGUGGACGCAUCACUGGUGUUCGGGUUGUCAUGCCAAUGGCACUGCCCGGUAGCUAAAUGCGGAAGAGAUAAGUGCUGAAAGCAUCUAAGCACGAAACUUGCCCCGAGAUGAGUUCUCCCUGAGACUUAGAGUCUCCUGAAGGAACGUUGAAGACGACGACGUUGAUAGGCCGGGUGUGUAAGCGCAGCGAUGCGUUGAGCUAACCGGUACUAAUGAACCGUGAGGCUUAACCUUACAACGCCGAAG
rnacentral:rRNA from 1 species